AUAUUAUCAUGAAUAAACAUGGACAGUAUUGAAUUACAUUUAUACCUUCGGCUUAACGGAAGGUAAAAGUCCAAGUGUGACGUGUGAGUGAAUAUCAGUCAGCGUGAACAGUGCAGUGUCACUAUUUAUCUAUUUAUAGGCACAGGGCGCAACCUGUGUAGAAUUACAUUCAUGCCCUCGACACUUACUAUUGACUUAGAGAAAUCUAUCGAGGACUAGACAACCUUUUCCCCUUUAAGUCGGUUUCAUUUUCCAUCGUUAAGCCGAAGCUUCUUCACGGGUAGCUUCAGCAUUGAUUCAUCCUUCUCCCGAACCGCGCUCUCCAUAUUAUUGUAUAACUUCAUUUCAUGUCCGAAGGUUCCUGUACAUAUAUUAUACUUGGGAAAUAUGUUAGUCGUGUUUUUGAGGACCUUCGGAAGACGAAGGCCCCCAACAUUCUUGUUUAUGAUAUGUAUUUUAAUAUUUUUUGAUUGAUAAUUUGAUGAACUAGCAUGCAUAUGUUAAGCGAUAGCUAGACUUAAUAUUAUUUGCUUUUUUAAUUGGUAUCUAGAAAUCUUUCUAGUAAUUUUGGUCUCACAAAUGUUUCUAGUCUCUUUGAGGUCUAGCUAUCUCAAGUGUUAAGGGUCGAAACCAAAUAAUGAAUCAAUAUUACAAGUGGUAUUACAAAUGGUAUACACACUUCAAAGUUUUAUCUUAGGCACCUUAGCAACAUUUGGUAGCUUUGCUUCUUCCAUAAUUUUAAAUUAGCAUAUGUGCAAGAUUCAAAUCCAAACACCUAGCACAUAUGUAGGGGAGCAAAUACUAUCAAAAUAGGGUUUAUGAAAUUUGUCCAAAACUUUAAUAGUGUGCAAAGUGCUUGGCAAGCAACACAAAUCCAAACCAAGUUAUUAAUUCAUACUUCGUGAAGUGUAAGUUUGGAAUUAAACACUUUAAUUUCUAUCUUUGUAUGGUUGUCAUCAAUUAUAAAAAAAUGAGAAGAUUGAAAGUUGCAUGCAAAGUUUUGAUAACUGAGACAACUAGUGGCCUGACCUCUACUUUAUUAUUUUGAAUGAGCUUGGUUAGGUCUACAUCCAACAUUGAGCAAGAAUGUCAACCGUGAAAAGGAUGGUAAUAACCAACCAGAAUAAUCAAGUGCUCAAUAUGAAAAGAAAAGUAAAAUACAACGGUUCAAAAUGUAGCCAGGACAUUUUGGCGACGAAUUAGCGUUGUUCAAAAUGUAAUUGGUGUUGCAGAGAUUAAUAAGUCUGUUUCUAACAAUUACCUCACAUAUAUAGAUAUUGUUUAAAUAAGGUAUUCAGUCUACCACACCGCUUAAAAAACAUAGAUAUUCAUAGGUAAUGAGUAUUUAACGAAUAAUUUGUUUUCUGUUGUAACGCACGGACACCGUACUAGUAAAGAGGGAGAAGAGUGUAAAUGAACUUUUGUGACUUUUUGUUCAUUAUCGAUACAUAUUUAUAUAUAGAAAUUACGCCCCAUGACUCCCUACGAUUCCACGACAAGUAUAGGUAUACGAGGGAGGUGUAGAACUCCCAUACACGAGAAUUGUAUGGAAUAAUUGGCUAGUGGGAUAUUACUCCUAACCAUUCUAAAUAAAAGGAUAAAAUCACACCUUAUUAGAAAAAUAUUUGUAACAAAUGCAUGGACAGGUGUGGGCACAUGGGUAUUGGAAUAAGCCAUUGUUACGUGGAGUCGCAGUUACCCUGCAAGUGGAAGGAGCAAAGGUUUUUGGGCGAAAUGCGGUGAAAAAUCGCCUGCCUCAUUUGGAUUCUGGAGACGCUCGUUUUGUCCGCGACUCCGCGUAGCUUGAGCAUGAAUGAUAAACCUUUUGAGUUUUGACGCCACACAGCAAGCAGGGGCAAAAUAUCUAAACUGUUAGAAAGCAACCAACAGCUUUGUCUUCGUACUCGUACCGAGCUAUCACCCGUGGGCCGUGGUGCUGCUGGCUGCUGCAUUUUUGUUCAAGGAAAAGCAACUUCUUUUGAGAACCACAGGUCAGUAGGUCCGGCAAUAUUGUGGCUACCUACUAACCAAAAAGAUGUCCAAAAGCAGACGGAAUUUAACUCUGUUUUGACCACACGAUAUCAAAAAAAAAAAAAAAAACUCAGGUCACAUAAUACCUCUAUUUUUCAGGCCUGUUUCGACUAGGCUUCAUAAAGCGCCGUGUGCAAUAUAUGAGCAUAUAUUUUAGAAUUGAGCAAAUCUAGUCAAACUUAUGGGUGUUUACUAGGUAAGUGCCCGUGCGUUGCGACGUGACAUAAGUUGUUGAAAGAGAUUUAUGGCUACUCGUCCAAGUCAAUGAUAGGCUAUCGUUGUUACUAGACACCAUCAUUUGAGUAAAGAUAUAAGUAUCCGGGAUAGGAAGGAGCGUGAAGUUCUACACAAAACCGAACAGGUGCUUGACGGCUCCUAACUUGCGAAACACGAUAGAGAUCCUCUUGCAUGGACGAAAUCAAUAUGAUAAAAUACAUUUAUAUAAAAAAACACAAAUAGUAGUAGAGAUGCUGCUGUGAUAGUGGAAAUGUCAGCAAGAGUACUAUAUGAACAAAUAUGCUAGCAUAGGCAAGAGUACUGAAGGAUUGAUUUUCAGUAUUUCUCUUAGUUGUGUUAGCAGCCAAGUAAUAUAUGUUUAACUAAAUAGAUGUAGUACUGUCUUGGUUUUCAGUCCAGAAGGUGAAUGAGUGUCAAGUUAACAAUUCCAAUAAUAAAGUUGACAUUGCCCGCAUCUGAUAGCAACCACAUAUCUCGAAAUGACUUGUAGGAUAAAAAUAAGACAGAGAACAUCGCAUUAAUAGAUCUAACAACAUUGGAUGUCCCUGAUUCAUGCUGCAAACUCUAAUGCAAUAACAAAACAUGACCGUAAGAGUGAAUUUCAGUGUUGACGCACCUAAUGAGUUAAACAAAAUGCCAGCCUGAUGCCAUUAAGAUUCCUAGAAAAACAGGCACGAUAGAUCAUGUAGCAGUAGCCGCAGCAGUAGAGGAAGUAGGGAGGCAGUGCUGGUGGAGCCACAUCCAACCUACCAAGAAAUGAGCAAGACUUUUAAGCAUCCAUACUUUUUUUACCAUCAACACUGAUAUUCUUUUUUUCACAAGUGAUGAAUACCUAGGCUGGUCUGUAGGCAAGGGGAAAAAUCAAACAUAUAGACUAAAUGAAACUUAAACAAAAAACUAAUUACCUAGACAUAGCAAUUGACCCGAGUGUUUAGCCUUGCAAUAUUUUUUUGCUUCAGUCGUAAUUGGACGACAUCUAUGUUGAUGCAUGUUAAAAAAAAUUAACUUGCUCCACACAGGAGCGAAGCCGCAACACGGAUCAGAGGUGGAGGGCAGGCAUUCGGAGCUCACCUCGGCAGGCGGGCAGUUGGGAGACUUGAGUGUUCUCUGGUAUACAAAAAUCUGAUCAUAAACCUUGCUUCCAUGUACUGCAUUUAAGAGAGACUAAUAGCAUAGUAUCCCUGUUUUAUGAGUUCUAGUGUGUGUCUGGUGAUAUGCUCAUGUUCCCUGUUGUCUAUUUAAAUACAAUGUCCAAUUCAGUAUUUAUUUAGGCCAUGUUUGGAUAUUUGGAAUUAAAAUUUAUUCUAAUAAUCAUAAUUUAUACAUAGAUCAAUUAAGCUAAUAUGGUUAUAUGUGGAAUAUAUUUGUAAACUACUGUUAGACAUAGAAAGGAAAUACUUACAUGUUGCAUUUCUAUGUAUACUACUGUUAUUUGAUUGUCUGAAGUGAUCUAUGCAUUGAUCAUAUGACCAGAGAGUAGAUAUCCUCUGGAGGCAUCUGCCUUGGAAAGCUUUAGAUGUCUUCUAUUUGUCCCAUGUCUUUUUCCCGGUCCCUGCCCAUGCACAAAAUGGUACCAUAUUCAGAGUUGCAAAAACAUGCAUAGCACGUUGAAAUGGUAGGCACAAACUUUGAUCUGUAGAAACCGAAAACAUGCAUAGCAACUUGCAUAAAACAUAUACAUGUUGCAAAAAGUAUGCAUCAAUAGUAGGUAUGGGAAUAUAAAUGUUGCUGAAAAUAUACAGGUUGCAGAAACUGAAAAUCUAUACAAACUGAAAACUGCCAUAGAAACUGAAAUUUAGUACAAACUAAAAAGGUAGAUGUCUAUUUAUAUGAAGUGUCUGUUUAUGUUGCAAAAAUACGCAGGUUGUUCAAAGUGGUGUAGGCUGAAUUCUGAAUUUUCAGAUUUAGAAUAGUGCCUAAGUCUGAAUUUCAGUGAUUGUGACAGACUUUGGAGCUUCCUUGUGCUGUUGUGCAUAAUUCAUAAGGUUUUGAACUAUGGUUUCUAUAGAGGAAUUGAAGACCAUAAGUUGGUGUAUAAAUGUAUUUAAGGGUGAUGGAUAUGAUCCUACACAAAAAGUGGAGAAAAAGUUGACUGAAAAUGGACUAUUGGGUUACUCGUGACUGAAAUUGGUUCAGUUAAUUAAAACUGAAAUUCAGUAAAAGGUACCAAUUUUGGAGCUCAUUUGUGGCUAAUCCAUUUGGUUUUGGGCUAAAUUUUAUAUAUAUAAUUUGAAGAUCACAGUAAGGUGAACAAGUUUAUGCAAAUAAUUGGUCUUGUUACUGUGUGUAAUUUGGAGAUAAUAGUGUUACGAAGCUCCCUGUCAGAUUGGGUGCAGAGCUGUUUCAGACCUCUGAAACUGAAUUUUCAAAGUGGUGUAGGCUGCAAAUUGUGUAUCUAUAUGCAGAUAGCAGAACCUGUACUGAAAGUGUACAAGUUGUUUGUAACACUGAAUAAAGUGAAUAAAGUGUUGUAUGUAAUCAGAAUAAAGUGUUGUCUGUCAAGUGGUUUGGUUUGUGAUAGAACAAUGUCUACAUAUAUAGAAAUUAAUUCUCUAGCAACUGAUCUCAUGCACUCUGAACUCUUGCAAGCUUUGUAACAUUUCCAAAUUGCUUCAACCUAUAGGCCUCUGUGAUUGCAGAAUGAAAGGCCUCUGUGUUUCAUCCAAAGUGGGUGCAUGCAUCAAUUUAGUAACAGAAAUUCACCGCAAUGGGUGUACCAGCCAAGCCAAAGAGUCUAAGUUACAGAUUUUGAGGAGGCAGAGUGGCUGGGAGGGAGUCUCAUUUCAGAAUAGGUCCUAUGUUGAACAACGCAUAAGCAGCUUCUCCAUGCUAAGUAGUCGAGCAGAAUAAUAUGCGAGCAAUGACUCGUACCAGCUGUUGGGCAUAUCGGAGCGGGGCAUGCCGUCAGCCUUCUUCGCGUGGCGGUCGCAGCACGGGACGUCGCUGGUGGGCAUCCUCUUCUCUGCGUUGGGCGUCUUUGGCGUAGGCAGGGAAGUAGCUCGGCACGACUUCCGCCCGACGUCCUUGGGCCACCGCGAGGCCCGUGUGCCUUGGGACUGCCUCACAUGGAGCUCGGCCAGGUUCGCGCUCUCCUAUCUCGCACUGACACCUGGGAGCAGCAGGGCCUGCCGUCGCACGCGAUGCUCAGCGGGAUGAUGCGGCCAAAUCCUCACCAGGUUAUGCAAGGACAAGCACAGCGUGUGGUUCAACGCACACGUCGAGGUGGAGCGUCUUAGCCUCCACGACUACCACGCCGUUCCCGCCAAGGAGGGCCUCGCUGUCGAAUGGUACGCCUCGCAGUAGGGUAUGGCGAGGUUUCGGGGGGAUCUUGCGCCGAGAUUUCUGUGGUGCACAUGGAAGAGGGCAAUUCAUGACGGGGGCGGACAACGCGGGAGCGGCGGGUGGGUGUGCGGGGCAGGAGCGUUGGCAGAGGCGGGGACAGGUGGGGGCCUUCUGGGUGUGGACGCCCACGGGCUGGGGCUCCG
rnacentral:lncRNA from 1 species